rnacentral:rRNA from 1 species
GAUAUGGCUCAGGAUGAACGCUGGCGGCGUGCCUAACACAUGCAAGUCGAGCGAGAAGCUCAUGACGGACGCUUCGGUUGAAGUCACGAGUGGAAAGCGGCGGACGGGUGAGUAACGCGUAGGCAACCUGCCCUUUGCAGAGGGAUAGCCUCGGGAAACCGGGAUUAAAACCUCAUAAUACCGCAGUGAGACAUCUCACGGCGGUCAAAGAUUUAUCGGCAAAGGAUGGGCCUGCGU